rnacentral:rRNA from 1 species
GGGUUGUGAGGUUAAGCGACUAAGCGUACACGGUGGAUGCCCUGGCAGUCAGAGGCGAUGAAGGACGUGCUAAUCUGCGAAAAGCGUCGGUAAGGUGAUAUGAACCGUUAYARCCGGCGAUGUCCGAAUGGGGAAACCCAGUGCAAUUCGUUGCACUAUCGUUAACUGAAUACAUAGGUUAACGAGGCGAACCGGGGGAACUGAAACAUCUAAGUACCCCGAGGAAAAGAAAUCAACCGAGAUUCCCCCAGUAGCGGCGAGCGAACGGGGAGCAGCCCAGAGUCUGAAUCAGCUUGUGUGUUAGUGGAACGGUCUGGAAAGUCCGACGGUACAGGGUGAUAGUCCCGUACACCAAAAUGCACAGGYUGUGAACUCGAAGAGUAGGGCGGGACACGUGGUAUCCUGUCUGAAU